CGUGAGGAUCCGACCGUUGGAUCAUCAUUAAAUUCAGAUCCGACCGUUGGAUCAUCGUAUAAUUUCGAUCUGACCGUUGGAUCAUCAUUAAAAUUAGAAUCCGACCGUGGGUUUCCGUAUAUGUGUGCUUUUGAGUUGUUGGCUAAGUUAAGAUCAUUAUUGGAUUAGGUGAUCGAUGGAUUUAUUUGGCGGACGAUUCGUGAGAUUGUUAAUGGAGCUGUUAAGAAGACGCAGCUGGAUUAGAGCGGGUAAUCCUGCAGGUCAGGAGAAUCAGGGCGGUGAUCGUGCGGGUUAGAGUAUUUGUUAUAGUUUUACAGCAAUUGUAAUAGUGAGGUGAGUUAAGCUCAUUUGAGCCUCACAAUUUGAUUUGGUGAGAGUGUGCUGUAAUAAAUAACUUGAGAAUUUGGUUUAUUGUAUUAUUGAGAGGUGUGAAGUGUG